AAUAGAUACCCAGGUAGUCCACGCCGUAAACGAUGAGUGCUAGGUGUUGGGGGGUUUCAAUACCCUCAGUGCCGCAGCUAACGCAAAUAAGCACUCCGCCUGGGGAGUACGGUCGCAAGACUGAAACUCAAAGGAAUUGACGGGGGCCCGCACAAGCGGUGGAGCAUGUGGUUUAAUUCGAAGCAACGCGAAGAACCUUACCAGGUCUUGACAUCCCGGUGACCGCUCUGGAGACAGAGCUUCCCCUCGGGGCAACGGUGACAGGUGGUGCAUGGUUGUCGUCAGCUCGUGUCGUGAGAUGUUGGGUUAAGUCCCGCAACGAGCGCAACCCUUAUCUUUAGUUGCCAGCAUUCAGUUGGGCACUCUAGAGAGACUGCCGUCGACAAGACGGAGGAAGGCGGGGAUGACGUCAAAUCAUCAUGCCCCUUAUGACCUGGGCUACACACGUGCUACAAUGGCUGGUACAACGGGAAGCUAGCCCGCGAGGGUACGCCAAUCUCUUAAAAACCCAGUCUCAGUUCGGAUUGCAGG
rnacentral:rRNA from 1 species